GAUGAACGCUGGCGGCGUGCCUAACACAUGCAAGUCGAGCGGCAGCGAGGGGUGCUCGCACCCUGUCGGCGAGCGGCGGACGGCUGAGUAACGCGUGGGAACGUGCCCCAAAGUGAGGAAUAACUGCCCGAAAGGGUAGCUAAUACCGCAUAUUAUCUUCGGAUCAAAGGAUUUAUCCGCUUUGGGAGCGGCUCGCGUCGGAUUAGGUAGUUGGUGAGGUAAUGGCUCACCAAGCCGACGAUCCGUAGCUGGUCUGAGAGGAUGACCAGCCAGACUGGAACUGAGACACGGUCCAGACUCCUACGGGAGGCAGCAGUGAGGAAUCUUCCACAAUGGGCGAAAGCCUGAUGGAGCAACGCCGCGUGCAGGACGAAGGCCUUCGGGUUGUAAACUGCUUUUAUAAGUGAGGAAUAUGACGGUAACUUAUGAAUAAGGAUCGGCUAACUACGUG
rnacentral:rRNA from 1 species